rnacentral:rRNA from 1 species
UGGGGAAUCUUGGACAAUGGGCGCAAGCCUGAUCCAGCCAUGCCGCGUGAGUGAAGAAGGCCUUCGGGUUGUAAAGCUCUUUUUACCAGGGACGAUAAUGACGGUACCUGGAGAAUAAGCCCCGGCAAACUUCGUGCCAGCAGCCGCGGUAAUACGAAGGGGGCUAGCGUUGUUCGGAAUUACUGGGCGUAAAGCGCACGUAGGCGGAUUGUUAAGUCAGAGGUGAAAUCCCGGAGCUCAACUUCGGAACUGCCUUUGAUACUGGCAAUCUAGAGUCCGGAAGAGGUUAGUGGAAUUCCCAGUGUAGAGGUGAAAUUCGUAGAUAUUGGGAAGAACACCAGUGGCGAAGGCGGCUAACUGGUCCGGUACUGACGCUGAGGUGCGAAAGCGUGGGGAGCAAACAGGAUUAGAUACCCCUGUAGUCCCUGAGCGGGCUGGCAAGGCGCAU